GGCACGAAAACGAAUCUCUCAGUUUGUGUAGAAACCAUGUUCGUCUACAUCGACCACGUACGAGCAGAUUAGAUGAGUACAUCUAGCAUUAAGUGAGAGGAAAGAUUGCUCACUCUGCAGAGAGAUAAUUUUUUAGAAAGUGCACCGAUAAAGACAAAAUUUUAAUUCAACUCAAUAAUGGAAUGAGUGGAAAAGUGUUAG